AUACGUAUGUCGCAAGCGUUAUCCGGAAUUAUUGGGCGUAAAGCGAGUCUAGGCGGCUUGUUAAGUCAGAUGUGAAAAUGCGGGGCUCAACUCCGUAUUGCGUUUGAAACUGGCAGGCUAGAGUACUGAAGAGGGUGGCGGAACUACAAGUGUAGAGGUGAAAUUCGUAGAUAUUUGUAGGAAUGCCGAUAGUGAAGACAGCUCACUGGACAGAUACUGACGCUAAAGCUCGAAAGCGUGGGGAGCGAACAGGAUUAGAAACCCUAGUAGUCC
rnacentral:rRNA from 1 species